rnacentral:rRNA from 1 species
UGGACUAUAACUGACGCUGAGGCACGAAAGCGUGGGUAGCAAACAGGAUUAGAUACCCUGGUAGUCCACGCCGUAAACGAUGAACACUAGGUGUCGGGAGGAAUUUCGGUGCCGGCGCAAACGCAAUAAGUGUUCCGCCUGGGGAGUACGUUCGCAAGAAUAAAACUCAAAGGAAUUGACGGGGACCCGCACAAGUAGCGGAGCAUGUGGUUUAAUUCGAAGCAACGCGAAGAACCUUACCUAAGCUUGACAUGGGGAUGAAAAGCAAUGUAAAGUUGUAAUGAUACCUUUUAGGUAUACAUCCCACACAGGUGGUGCAUGGUUGUCGUCAGCUCGUGUCGUGAGAUGUUGGGUUAAGUCCCGCAACGAGCGCAACCCCUAUUGAUAGUUGCCAGUGCGUUAUGGUAGGCACUCUAUCAAGACAGUUAUGGAUAACAUAAAGGAAGGUGGGGAUGACGUCAAAUCAUCAUGCCCCUUAUGCUUAGGGCUACACACGUGCUACAAUGGCUGUAACAAAGAGAAGCAAAGUCGUAAGGCGGAGCAAACCUGAAAAAAGCAGUCCAAGUUCGGAUUGUGGGCUGAAACUCGCCCACAUGAAGUCGGAGUUACUAGUAAUCGCGAAUCAGAAUGUCGCGGUGAAUGCGUUCCCGGGUCUUGUACACACCGCCCAUCACACCAUGGGAGCUGAGGG